AGCGGCGGACGGGUGAGUAAUGCGUAGGAAGCUGCCCGAUAGAGGGGGAUACCAGUUGGAAACGACUGUUAAUACCGCAUAAUGUCUACGGACCAAAGUAUGGGACCUUCGGGCCAUAUGCUAUCGGAUGCGCCUACGUGGGAUUAGCUAGUUGGUGUGGUAAUGGCGCACCAAGGCGACGAUCCCUAGCUGGUUUGAGAGGAUGAUCAGCCACACUGGGACUGAGACACGGCCCAGACUCCUACGGGAGGCAGCAGUGGGGAAUAUUGGACAAUGGGCGCAAGCCUGAUCCAGCCAUGCCGCGUGUGUGAAGAAGGCCUUCGGGUUGUAAAGCACUUUCAGCGAGGAGGAAGGGGUGUGUGUUAAUAGCACAUAUCUUUGACGUUACUCGCAGAAGAAGCACCGGCUAACUCCGUGCCAGCAGCCGCGGUAAUACGGAGGGUGCAAGCGCUAAUCGGAAUUACUGGGCGUAAAGCGCACGCAGGCGGCUUUUUAAGUCGGAUGUGAAAGCCCCGGGCUCAACCUGGGAAUUGCAUUCGAUACUGGAAGGCUAGAGUAUGUGAGAGGGGGGGUAGAAUUCCAG
rnacentral:rRNA from 1 species